rnacentral:siRNA from 1 species
UAGCUAAUAAUCUGUAUUAUGC